rnacentral:misc_RNA from 1 species
AUCAAGAAGAUCCGAGAAUGGUCGGAGAUCGUCGCUGGACCCAGGUGGAAGACUUUCAUCCGGAGAUUCAAUAGAAACAGAGGUAGUGGCAACAACAGGCAUGGCAAGUUCCAGUACGAUCCUUUUAGUUACGCUUUGAACUUCGAUGAGGGCCCCGGACAGAAUAGUAAUGUCGAUGUGGAAGACGAUUACGGAGGGUUUCGCGAUUUCUCUUCUCGGUACGCCUCCGUUUCCGGCUCCGGUAAGCCGCUGGCGAUGGACGCGUCCCGUAAUAAAGACGUGGCGGUUAUCGCGGUCGCGUGAGGGGAAAUAAAAAGAAA